rnacentral:sRNA from 1 species
CUGUCCCUGUCUGCUGCUGAGAUGGUUAGUUGGAUACACAGGUCACACCUCAUGUCUAGCAAACCCUGGUCCAGCCACACCCUUGGCCACGUCUCAGAGCUGCCUGGAUAGAGCAUUUUUCAGAUCCCCAAGGGCUGGUGCCUUUUUGCUUAAUGGUCCCUGCCUCACUGAUUGUUUCCCUCUUGCAUUCUGCUAUAAGUAGCAAGGAGAAGCCAGGUGGCACCUUCCACACUGCUUGGAAAUCUCAGCUUGAUGUCCAGGCUCAUCAGCUGCAGGUCCCACUUCGCGCCCAACAGCAGAGCAGCAGCCAGCCAAGCUCUGUGCUGCCUCCUCCGGUUCCCAGUAGCACGGUCAUUUCCAUCUGAGACCUCACUGGAAGCACCUGUUGGGUCGGCAUUGCUGCCGACAUCCAGUCUGUGAUGCUGUGUGCAUUCUCCAAGACGGCGGCAGCUCUCCUCUUCCAGCCAUUUCCAGGCUUGUCUUCAUGCCUUUCUACCAACAGUCGUGCAGGCCUCACCAGUUCUUCCAGCCUCUCCCCAUCACCCACUUCCAAAGCUGCUGCCACAGUUCUUGGUGUUAGGUUUCGGCAGCACCCUUCCUGGUACCAAAAUCUGUUCAUUUAUUGUGGCUGCUGUAACAAAGUGUCACAAACUGGGUGGCUUAAAAAACAGAAAUAGAUUGCCUUAGUUUUGGAGGCUGGAAGUCCAAGAUGAAAGUAUUGGCAGCCUCGUUCCGUCUGAAACCUCUUAGAGACCUCCGUUGCCCCCCAGCUUCUGGUGUUUGCCACAGCCCUUGGUGUUUCUUGGCUUGUGGCCGCGUUGCUCCAGGUGGUCUCUGUCUUCGUGUGGCCCCCUCCCCGUCUGCCUGUGUCUUCCUAUCUUUCCUUUUCUUAGAAGGACCCCAGUCAGUUGGAUUAGGAUACACCUCAGUUACAUCUGCAUCAACCCUGUUUGCAAAUACGGCCACAUUUCCAAGCACUGGGGGUCAGGAGGCCCCUGUAGCCUUUUCGGGACACACCUUAUGAUGCCGGCCCCAUUGCCCUUUCAUGGUGGCUGAGCAGGUGGGGACCCCACCCAGUCCUGUGCUCUCGCUGCUCACCUGCCUGCCAGGGUGGGGUGGGGCAGGUGGCUCUGGGAGCCCCUUUCUCACUGGGUACCAGGUGGCAGAGCCCAUGGGCCUGAGCCCCCUGCAGCCGAGCUGCCCGUGCUGACCCUAGCCCUCCUUAGGCCAUGCGGACCCUCAGUUGGAAGCACACCCUGGGCCUGGUGACCAUGGAUGUGGAGCUGGCCGACCGCACGCUGUCUGUGGCGGUCACCCCGGUACAGGCGGUGAUCUUGCUGUAUUUUCAGGACCAAGCCAGCUGGACCCUGGAGGAACUGAGCAAGGCGGUGAAGAUGCCCGUGGCGCUGCUGCGGCGGCGGAUGUCCGUGUGGCUGCAGCAGGGUGUGCUGCGUGAGGAGCCCCCCGGCACCUUCUCUGUCAUUGAGGAGGAGCGGCCUCAGGACCGGGACAACAUGGUGCUCAUCGACAGUGACGACGAGAGCGACUCCGGCAUGGCCUCCCAGGCCGACCAGAAGGAGGAGGAGCUGCUGCUCUUCUGGACGUACAUCCAGGCCAUGCUGACCAACCUGGAGAGCCUCUCACUGGAUCGUAUCUACAACAUGCUCCGCAUGUUUGUGGUGACUGGGCCUGCACUGGCCGAGAUUGACCUGCAGGAGCUGCAGGGCUACCUGCAGAAGAAGGUGCGGGACCAGCAGCUCGUCUACUCGGCCGGUGUCUACCGCCUGCCCAAGAACUGCAGCUGACACACCCGCCCGCCCGCCCGCCAGGCGCUGCCCUGCAGGUGCUCUCGUCCUCCUAUGCCAGCCCCCGCCCGCCCGUGUCCCAGAAUGCACUGCUGAGGAGCAUGCCCACCCCCACCCCCGCAGUGUGCAGAUUAAAGCAAGUCAGAUCAUC